rnacentral:rRNA from 1 species
AGUGAACGCUGGCGGUAGGCCUAACACAUGCAAGUCGAACGGCAGCACAGUAAGAGCUUGCUCUUACGGGUUGCGAGUGGCGGACGGGUGAGGAAUACAUCGGAAUCUACUUUUUCGUGGGGGAUAACGUAGGGAAACUUACGCUAAUACCGCAUACGACCUACGGUUGAAAGCAGGGGAUCUUCGGACCUUGCGCGAUUGAAUGAGCCGAUGUCGGAUUAGCUAGUUGGCGGGGUAAAGGCCCACCAAGGCGACAAUCCGUAGCUGGUCUGAGAGGAUGAUCAGCCACACUGGAACUGAGACACGGUCAAGACGCCUACGGGAGGCAGCAGUGGGGAAUAUUGGACAAUGGGCGCAAGCCUGAUCCAGCCAUACCGAGUGGGUGAAGAAGGCCUUCGGGUUGUAAAGACCUUUUGUUGGGAAAGAAAAGCAGCAGGUUAAUACCCAGCGGUUCUGACGGUACCCAAAGAAUAAGCACCGGCUAACUUCGUG